CAGGGCUCAGUCCUUGCCCAAUAUGUCCACUGUGUCUACUGGCUCCCAGGGACUUCUGCGGCACUCUGGACUGGCUGACCCUUUGUUUCCAUGACUCCCCAGCCUGGGUGUCGAGCCCUUUCCUUGUCUACCGUGUCCUGGCUUAUGUUAUGUAGGCCACUGGUCCUCGCCAGCCUUCUGCCUGAGCCAGAGUCAAACAUCAGAUGUCACAUGUUUGAGGCAGCAAUGUGGACCAGAACCUUGAGGGCAGGAUGCCCUGAAGAGGGAAACAAAAGAGAAGGACCAGAUGCUGGGAGACAAGGUCUCUGCUGAAUGAACCUGGAACUCACAAAACUGGUUAAACUGGCUGGCUGCUGAGCUCAACUCAGGAUCUGCCUACAACUCCCACCCCUCCGCCUCUCCAACACACUGAGUGUGAGCAUUGCAGAGUAACUUUUGUGUGGGUCCUGGGGAAUCUGAACUCAUGCUGUGUUGUUGAGCUCACUUUGUCAUAUGGCAACCACUGAGAGAAACUCACCCAAGAACUG